CAGUAGCCGCGGUGAUACAGAGGGUGCGAGCGUUAAUCGGAUUUACUGGGCGUAAAGCGUGCGUAGGUGGUUCAUUAAGUCGGAUGUGAAAUCCCUGAGCUUAACUUAGGAAUUGCAUUCGAUACUGGGAAGCUAGAGUAUGGGAGAGGAUGGUAGAAUUCCAGGUGUAGCGGUGAAAUGCGUAGAGAUCUGGAGGAAUACCGAUGGCGAAGGCAGCCAUCUGGCCUAAUACUGACGCUGAGGUACGAAAGCAUGGGGAGCAAACAGGAUUAGAUACCCCGGUAGUCCCUGUCUCUUAUAU
rnacentral:rRNA from 1 species